AAUUGGUAGUUUAGUAUUGGAGAAGAUU
rnacentral:piRNA from 1 species